UAAGUUAAAAAUCUCCGAGCCGGUGAGCCUUAGCCGAAGAGGUAUGGCUGCCUGGCCGUUAGGGUGCAGCGGGAAACUGUUGCGCCUCCCACUCAGGAAAGGAGAACAUAUGCUUUAAGA
rnacentral:ncRNA from 2 species